UUCGCUUCAUCUCCGGUCCCUCUCCUGUGGUCCGGAUUCCAGCUGCCGCGUGGAGGAGAAACAAGGGGUCACGUCACCGACCCACAACUCCGCCAGAAACCGAUCUCGUCCAGACCGCCCGCGAGGCGGGCGCCGCCGCUACGGAACGGCUGAGUGAUGUCGCGUGAUGCGGCGCUCUCCAGCUUUGGCGAAGCGAAAUCCGCGGGCGGCCGAGAAGGUGGAAGAGACCAAGGAGCAGGCGGCCGGUGAAAUCGCCCGCACAGCCCAAGGUCUCGAGGCGGCAGCCCAAGGAGAUGGAAGGGUCGCCUCUACAGCAGGAUCUGCUUCGGCGAGGCAGCCGCGGGGCUGAAGCAGAUCGCGCACGCCGUCGAGGGGAAGAGUAAUCGGCGCGAUGGUGGGCGAGUUGUCGGAGUUCGGCCGGCAGAACCCGGUGGCCUACCUGGGAGGCGCCGCGCUCGUCGGCUUCACCCUCGCGCGGUUCGCCCGCGCCUCGACUCCGGCCGGGACCACCGCCUCCGUCCCGUCGAGCCGCCUCGAUGCGGGACCUGCGGAUCGAUCGGGCGACAAGAAUCGAACUGGAAGGGACGUGGCGCCGGCCGAUUUCGUCGGAGGGUCAGAUCAUGGCUGAUCUCCAGGAGCGGUCCACGCCCGCCUUGAUGGCGGACCUGCUGGACCAGGUGACGCAACUCCUCCGCAGGGAGGUCCAACUCUUUCGUGCGGAGAUGAGCGACAAGGCCACCCAGGCGAUGGUUGCCGCAGGCAGCAUUCUCGCGGCUGCCAUCGUCGCCAUAACGGCGCUGAAUGUCCUCGCCGCGGCUCUGGUCGCCGGCCUGGCGAAUGCCGGCAUCCCUGCUCCGUGGUCGGCCGUGAUUGUCGGGGCUGGACUGGCGAUCAUCGCCUUCCUGAUGGCAAAAAAGGGCAGCGACAACCUCAAGGCCGGCAGCCUGGCGCCGGAGCGGACCACCCGUGCCGCGGUGCGGGACGUUUCGAUGGUGAAGGAGAAAAUCUGAUGGCUGAGUUCAACACGAAUCCGGGUGAUCGCAGCGUCACCGAGCUCGAGCGCGAAGUCGACCGCGAGCGCGAGCGCGUUUCGGCCACCAUCGAUGAGCUGCAGUCGCGAGCCUCGGUAGGAAGCCUGGUCGAUCAAGUCGUGAAGGCGGUUGGAGAGAAUGGCGGCGAAGUCAGCCGCCAACCUGGGACGGUGGCUGCGGGACAAUCCGCUGGCGGCUUUGCUGACCGGCGUCGGGCUCGCCUGGCUUAUGGCAGGCUCUGGCAGGCCGCGCGACGAAGGACGCGAUUGGGAAGACCCGGACCGAGACUACCUCCCCCACGGGCGCGAUCGGCUGGCAGAGCCGUUGCUGCCGGGCGCUUCGGCGUACGGGAGCAGCGAUGAUAGGUCGUGGCCGGAAUACCCAGAUCGCGAUGAUGCCUCGGGCGAGGGCAGCCUCCGCGACCGCGUGGCCGACGUUGCCGGCCGUGUUGGCGAGGGCGUUUCCGAAGCGGUGGAGGGCGUCCGCGAGCGUGCCUCCGAAUUGUCGCAUGCGGCAGGCGCCGGACUUCAUAGGGCCGGCGAUACGGUGCGCGAUGCCGGCAGCGCUUUUCGUCAUCGCGCCGGAGCCGCGCGUCGGAGCGCUGCCGGGACCGGCCGUGACGUGGCGUCAUGGCCUCGACACUCUGAUCGAGGACCAGCCGCUCGUCGCGGGCGCAAUCGCGAUGGCCCUGGGCGCUGCCGUCGGAGGGGCGCUUCCACGCUCUCGGAUGGAAGAUCAGAUGUUCGGUGAGCAGCGUGAUCGAGCGAUGGAGGCAGCGCGCACCCUUGCCAAGAACGAGGGUGGCAAGGUGCAGGCGACCGCCAGCGCCGUCGUAGAAGAGGCCCUCAACAUUGCCGAGGAGGCCUCGGCCGAGCUCGCGG
rnacentral:misc_RNA from 1 species